UACGUAGGGGGCAAGCGUUGUCCGGAUUUACUGGGCGUAAAGAGCGUGUAGGCGGUCCGGUAAGUCAGCUGUGAAAGUCAAGGGCUCAACCCUUGAAUGCCGGUUGAUACUGUCGGGCUAGAGUCCGGAAGAGGCGAGUGGAAUUCCCGGUGUAGCGGUGAAAUGCGCAGAUAUCGGGAGGAACACCAAUGGCGAAGGCAGCUCGCUGGGACGGUACUGACGCUGAGACGCGAAAGCGUGGGGAGCAAACAGG
rnacentral:rRNA from 1 species